CAGCAGCCACGGGAAUACGUAGGGUGCAAGCGUUAAUCGGAAUUACUGGGCGUAAAGCGUGCGCAGGCGGUUAUAUAAGUCAGAUGUGAAAUCCCCGGGCUCAACCUGGGAACUGCAUUUGAGACUGUAUGGCUAGAGUGUGUCAGAGGGAGGUAGAAUUCCACGUGUAGCAGUGAAAUGCGUAGAUAUGUGGAGGAAUACCGAUGGCGAAGGCAGCCCCCUGGGAUAACACUGACGCUCAUGCACGAAAGCGUGGGGAGCAAACAGGAUUAGAUACCCCAGUAGUCCCUGUCUCUUAUAC
rnacentral:rRNA from 1 species